GCGCCAGUAGCUCAGCUGGAUAGAGCAACGGAUUUCUAAUCCGUAGGUCGCAGGUUCAAGUCCUGCCUGGCGUACCA
rnacentral:tRNA from 1 species